CCUACGGGUGACAGCAGUGGGGAAUAUUGCACAAUGGGGGAAACCCUGAUGCAGCGACGCCGCGUGUGUGAAGAAGUAAUUCGUUAUGUAAAGCUCUUUCAGCAGGGAAGAAAAUGACGGUACCUGAAUAAUAAGCCCCGGCUAACUACGUGCCAGCAGCCGCGGUAAUACGGAGGGGGCAAGCGUUAUCCGGAUUUACUGGGUGUAAAGGGAGCGUAGACGGCAGUGCAAGUCAGGAGUGAAAGCCGGGGGCUCAACCCCCGGAGUGCUCUGGAAACUGUACGGCUGGAGUGCAGGAGAGGGAAGUAGAAUUCCUAGUGUAGCGGUGAAAUGCGUAGAUAUUAGGAGGAACACCAGUGGCGAAGGCGGCCUACUGGAC
rnacentral:rRNA from 1 species